UACGUAGGGGGCAAGCGUUGUCCGGAAUCAUUGGGCGUAAAGCGCGUGUAGGCGGUCCGGUAAGUCCGCUGUGAAAGUCGGGGGCUUAACCCUCGGAUGCCGGUGGAUACUGUCGGGCUUGAGUACGGAAGAGGCGAGUGGAAUUCCUGGUGUAGCGGUGAAAUGCGCAGAUAUCAGGAGGAACACCGAUGGCGAAGGCAGCUCGCUGGGACGGUACUGACGCUGAGGCGCGAAAGCGUGGGGAGCAAACAGG
rnacentral:rRNA from 1 species